CUUAACCUAUCAAUCCUCUCAAUCAUCCAUGACUGUGACAAAGAUUAUCUUAAUCAUAUAUAUGUUGUUUUGACGUGCUUUAAAAAUUUAUCAAACAAGAUGACUUCAUGAUAAUUUAUUAUAAAGAUGCUGUUACAAAACAUACUGUCACCCUUGUAGGACAUUGGAAAUAUGAUGCCUGAGUAUGCUCAAGGUUUUGUAAAAGAGACAUGUUAAGAAGAUCAUUCUGGAUUAUCUACAGUGUUCUGCUGACUUGCAUGUCUUAGGGAACUUCAGAGGUUUAAUAUGAAAACUACCAAAAUACUGAAAAAAGAAGAACGAUACUUGUCAAGAUAUUCAACUCCAUGACAUCUAGCAGCAUGAAAAGGGGACCCAAGGCAGAAGGCGACUAUGUGACAUGUUACAAAGUACAAAGUCAUAGGCACAAACAAGGAGUGGUUUUCUUACCUUUGGUGCUGAAGUCAUCCACCAGUAGAAUUUCCUUGAUGAGGUGCGGGGGAGAGCGGUUGAGGACACU